GAUGAACGCUGGCGGCGUGCCUAAUACAUGCAAGUCGAGCGAACAGACGAGGAGCUUGCUCCCCUGACGUUGGCGGCGGACGGGUGAGUGAGACGUGGAUAACCUACCUAUUAUACGGGGAUAAUAUCGUGAAAACACAGCCACUACCACCUCAUACAUUCAACCGCAUGAUGCAGUAGUUCAUGACGGCUUUGGCGUCACAAUUAGACGGUUCCGCGUCGCAUUAGCUAGUUGGUAAGGUAACGGCUUACCAAGGCGACGAUGCGUAGCCGAGCUGAGAGGAUGAUCGGCCACACUGGAACUGAGACACGGUCCAGACUCCUACGGGAGGCAGCAGUAGGGAAUCUUCCGCAAUGGGCGAAAGCCUGACGGAGCAAUGCCGCGUGAGUGAUGAAGGUCUUCGGGUCGUAAAGCUCUUUUAUUAGGGAAGAAAAAAUGUAUAUGAAACUAUGCACGUCUUGACGGUACCUAAACAGAAAGCACCGGCUAACUUCGUG
rnacentral:rRNA from 1 species